rnacentral:rRNA from 1 species
AGUGAACGCUGGCGGUAGGCCUAACACAUGCAAGUCGAACGGCAGCACAGUAAGAGCUUGCUCUUACGGGUGGCGAGUGGCGGACGGGUGAGGAAUACAUCGGAAUCUACUUUUUCGUGGGGGAUAACGUAGGGAAACUUACGCUAAUACCGCAUACGACCUACGGGUGAAAGCAGGGGAUCUUCGGACCUUGCGCGAUUGAAUGAGCCGAUGUCGGAUUAGCUAGUUGGCGGGGUAAAGGCCCACCAAGGCGACGAUCCGUAGCUGGUCUGAGAGGAUGAUCGGCCACACUGGAACUGAGACACGGUCCAGACUCCUACGGGAGGCAGCAGUGGGGAAUAUUGGACAAUGGGCGCAAGCCUGAUCCAGCCAUACCGCGUGGGUGAAGAAGGCCUUCGGGUUGUAAAGCCCUUUUGUUGGGAAAGAAAAGCAGCAGGUUAAUACCCCGCUGUUCUGACGGUACCCAAAGAAUAGGCACCGGCUAACUUCGUG